rnacentral:rRNA from 1 species
ACAGAGGUCUCAAGCGUUGUUCGGAAUCACUGGGCGUAAAGGGUGCGUAGGCUGCGCCGUAAGUCAGAUGUGAAAGCUCAGGGCUCAACCCUGAAAUUGCAUCCGAUACUGCGGUGCUUGAGAAAUGAAGGGGAGUCUAGAAUUUUCGGUGUAGCAGUGAAAUGCGUAGAUAUCGAAAGGAAUACCAAAGGCGAAGGCAGGACUCUGGGCAUUUUCUGACGCUGAUGCACGAAGGCCAGGGUAGCGAACGGGA